GUGAGGAAUCUUCCACAAUGGGGGAAACCCUGAUGGAGCAACGCCGCGUGCAGGAUGAAGGCCCUCGGGUCGUAAACUGCUUUUAUGAGCGAAGAAUAUGACGGUAACUCAUGAAUAAGGGUCGGCUAACUACGUGCCAGCAGCCGCGGUCAUACGUAGGACCCAAGCGUUAUCCGGAGUGACUGGGCGUAAAGAGUUGCGUAGGCGGUUAGUAAAGCGAAUAGUUAAAGAUGAUGGCUCAACCAUCAGAACAUUGUUCGAACUCACUAACUCGAGAAUGGUAGAGGUGGCUGGAAUUUCCUGUGUAGGAGUGAAAUCCGUAGAUAUAGGAAGGAACACCAAUGGCGUAGGCAGGCCACUGGACCAUUUCUGACGCUGAGGCACGAAAGCGUGGGGAGCGAA
rnacentral:rRNA from 1 species